rfam:Spiroplasma poulsonii strain MSRO contig_08, whole genome shotgun sequence.
GCGGUUGUGGCGAAGAGGUUAACGCUCCGGAUUGUGGCUCCGGCACUCGUGGGUUCAAGUCCCAUCAGCCGCC